UACGAGUGCCCCAAGCGUUAUCCGGAAUUAUUGGGCGUAAAGGGUGUGUAGGUGGUUUUGUUAGUCUUCUGUUAAAGCUCCCGGCUUAACCGGGAAAGUGCAGAGGAAACGGCAAGACUAGAGGAUGUGAGAGGUUUAUGGAACUCAUGGUGUAGGGGUGAAAUCCGUUGAUAUCAUGGGGAACACCGAAAGCGAAGGCAAUAAACUGGCGCAUUCCUGACACUGAAACACGAAAGCGUGGGUAGCGAAUGGG
rnacentral:rRNA from 1 species